rnacentral:misc_RNA from 1 species
AAUUAGAGAAUGGCCAACACCUAAAAAUGCAUCUGAAGUUAGGAGCUUUCAUGGAUUAGCAAGUUUUUAUAGGAGAUUUGUACCUAACUUUAGUACAUUGGCUGCUCCAUUAAAUGAACUUGUCAAAAAGAAUGUGACAUUUGUUUGGGGUAAAGAACAUGAACAUGCAUUUGCCAUGCUUAAAGAGAAAUUGUGUUCUGCACCUUUAUUAAUUUUGCCUAAUUUUGACAAGACAUUUGAGAUUGAAUGUGAUGCAUCAGGUAUAGGGAUUGGAGCUGUUCUCAUGCAAGAGAAACGUCCAAUUGCUUACUUUAGUGAAAAGUUGCAUGGUGCCACAUUGAAUUAUUCUACAUAUGACAAAGAAUUGUAUGCAUUAGUUAGGGCAUUAGAGACAUGGCAACAUUAUCUAUGGCCUAAGGAAUUUGUCAUACAUUCUGAUCAUGAGUCUUUGAAGUAUAUCAAAAGCCAACAUAAGUUGAGUAGGAGACAUGCUAAAUGGGUAGAAUUUAUAGAGUCUUUUCCUUAUGUUGUGAAAUAUAAGCAGGGUAAAGAGAAUGUGGUAGCUGAUGCACUCUCCCGCAGGUAUAAUCUUCUUACUACUCUUGAUUCUAAAUUAUUGGGAUUUGAGUAUGUUAAAGAAUUAUAUGAGCAUGAUGAUGACUUUGCUGCCAUAUUCCAUGCAUGUGAGAAAUCUGCAUUCCAAAAGUACUUUAGGCAUGAUGGAUAUUUGUUUAAAGAAAAUAGAUUGUGUGUGCCUAAAAGUUCUUUGAGGGAAUUGCUUGUAAAUGAGAGUCAUAGUGGAGGCCUUAUGGGGCAUUUUGGUGCUACCAAGACACUAAAUAUCCUUAAGGAGCAUUUCUUUUGGCCCCACAUAAGAAAAAAUGUUGAGAGACUAUGUGCAAGAUGUGAGACUUGUCAGAGAGCAAAGUCUAAGGUGAUGUUUCAUGGGCUAUACACACCUCUACCCGUGCCUUAGCAUCCCUGGGUUGAUUUGUCUAUGGACUUCGUCUUGGGUUUGCCUAGGUCACAA